ensembl:lncRNA
AAAAUAUAUCAGUCUCUUUCAGCCUGGGGGAACUAGAUCGGGAAAAAAAAGAAUAAUCCUAAUGAAAAAUACAAUCCCUCUUGCAUUGAAAAGUCAAAUAAAAAGUGUUGAAUAAGAAAGCAUACCGGACUGACCAAGAACUAGGCCUGAGUUCUGCGCGCACUCAUGCUGCAAAUUCCAUCAGUGGUUCGGUUAUUGAUUUGGAGCCUCUGAGACACAGGACAUAAUUCUUAGAGAAAUGGGAAUUUGCUGCUGCAUACAGUGAUUCUCCAGUGAGAUCAAGCAACAAGAAGUGGAAAUAAACAAAUUGAUAAAAGAAGCCACUCUGAAUCAUGGCUGACAUCUUAUCUCCCUCAGGCUUAAAGGAUUCAUUCACCCAAAAUGAAAACUCUUUCAUCAUUUACUCACUUUUUCUGUUUUUUUCUUCUGUGGAACACAAAAAGAGAAGUUCUGAUGAAUAUCUUGAACAGUCUUUUCCAUGCAAUUAAAAUAAAUGGAGACUGAAGCUUGAAAAAGGACAUCAAAGCUAUCAUUUCGACUCAUGACUCAUGAAAAAAAAAAUCAUACAUGUAUCAUAAAAGCAGUUGAAAUCAAACAGAUCUGUGUACUGGUUGAACUGAUUCACUGAAAAAAUGACUCCAAAGAAUGAUUCAUUUGACAGCUUGAAAAAGCCCCAUAAUAGCAUCAUACACAUAUCAUAAAAACCGUUUAUAUGGCUUAAAUUCAAGUCAUGAAUCAAUCAGUCUAAUUCACGAAUGAAUCAAUCAGAAUCAUGUUGAUUCAUUGAAACGAACUCCACUUUCAUGAUGCUUUUACUGUGAUUUUGCAUUAUUUUUUAAACUUGAAAGCUUUGAACAGCUCCCAGUUCAUAGUAAUCGCUCAGAAAAAGAGCAUGGAAAACAGUCAUAACAAAUGAGGAAAAUGUUUGGAAUGACAUCAAGGUGAGUAAAUGACAUUUUCCUGCUUUUCAAAUAUACUAUCCCUGGAAGACUCUCAGAACAAUCUGAGAUACAGAAACUCACCACAUUUUUACCAUCUCUUAUUUCCAGUCUACUAUCUUUCCUUAAGAGAAUGAGACAAAUGCUUAUUAAACCAAAGACCAUCACCCUAUUAUGGGGGGGCAUUGUUUUCCCACCAUUAAAGAACUUAGGCCAACCAGAGGACAUUCCCUGUUAAAAGGUUUCCUCUCUGGAGGGGAGACAGUUGAGGUGACAGUUUAAAAGCUUCUCUCCUCCCAUGAAAAUGCGCUACCUUUUUCCACACAAUUGCACAGGCUAGUCAAAUUGCAUUAGUGAUGCACUUGGUCUUUAUAUUGUGACACAAUAGGCCUUAAAUGUGUUUUGAGUCUAUUUGGAAAGCUCUUU